rnacentral:rRNA from 1 species
GACGAACGCUGGCGGCGUGCCUAAUACAUGCAAGUCGAGCGGACGAAUCGAAAGCUUGCUUUUGAUUCGUUAGCGGCGGACGGGUGAGUAACACGUGGGCAACCUGCCCUGUAGACGGGGAUAACACCGAGAAAUCGGUGCUAAUACCGGAUAACACGAAAUGUCGCAUGACGUUUCGUUGAAAGACGGCGCAAGCUGCCGCUACAGGAUGGGCCCGCGGCGCAUUAGCUAGUUGGUGAGGUAACGGCUCACCAAGGCGACGAUACGUAGCCGACCUGAGGGGGGGACCGGCCAAACGGGGACUGAGACCGGGCCCGAACCCGUAGGGGGGGCCGGAGGAGGGAAUUUUCCGAAAGGGCGGAAAGUUUGAGGGGGGGACGCGGGGGGGGGAAAGAAGGCCUUGGGGUGGUAAAGCUCGUUUGUUGGGGAAAAAAAAGAAAGGCAGUAACGGGGGUUACGGUGAGGGUACCAAAGGGAAAAGCCACGGCUAACUAGGG